AAUCAACGCUGGCGGCGUGCCUCAGACAUGCAAGUCGAACGCGAAAUUUCCCUUCGGGGAGAAAGUAGAGUGGCGCACGGGUGAGUAACACGUAGGUAAUUUGCCUUUGGGUGGGGAAUAACUCAGGGAAACUUGAGCUAAUACCGCAUAAUGCAGCGGCUCGACAUCGAGACAGUUGUUAAAGCGGGGGAUUGGAGCAAUCCGACCUCGCGCCUAAAGAGAAGCCUGCGGCAGAUUAGCUAGUUGGUAAGGUAAUGGCUUACCAAGGCGACGAUCUGUAACCGGCCUGAGAGGGCGGUCGGUCACACUGACACUGACAUACGGGUCAGACUCCUACGGGAGGCAGCAGUCGGGAAUUUUGGGCAAUGGGCGCAAGCCUGACCCAGCAACGCCGCGUGAAGGAUGAAAUUUUUC
rnacentral:rRNA from 1 species